rnacentral:rRNA from 1 species
GAUGAACGCUAGCUACAGGCUUAACACAUGCAAGUCGAGGGGCAGCAUGAACUUAGCUUGCUAAGUUUGAUGGCGACCGGCGCACGGGUGAGUAACACGUAUCCAACCUUCCGUUUACUCAGGGAUAGCCUUUCGAAAGAAAGAUUAAUACCUGAUAGUAUGGUGAGAUUGCAUGAUAGCACCAUUAAAGAUUUAUUGGUAAACGAUGGGGAUGCGUUCCAUUAGGUAGUAGGCGGGGUAACGGCCCACCUAGCCGACGAUGGAUAGGGGUUCUGAGAGGAAGGUCCCCCCACAUUGGAACUGAGACACGGUCCAAACUCCUACGGGAGGCAGCAGUGAGGAAUAUUGGUCAAUGGGCGAGAGCCCUGAACCAGCCAAGUAGCGUGAAGGAUGAAGGUCCUACGGGAUUGAAACUUCUUUAUACGGGAAUAAAGUAUCCCUAGUGUAGGAUUUUGAUGUACGUAUGAAUAAGCAUCGG